rnacentral:rRNA from 1 species
GUAAUCGUAGGUCAGCAUACUACGGUGAAUACGUUCCCGGGCCUUGUACACACCGCCCGUCAAACCAUGAGAGUUGGCAACACCCGAAGUCGGUAGUCUAACCGCAAGGAGGACGCCGCCGAAGGUGGGGUUNAUGAUUAGGGUUAAGUCGUAACAAGGUAAC